AAAAAAUUAAUUUUUAUGUAAUUAGGCCUGUUUGUACAAGUAAGUUAGUUAAUUUUCACAAAGAAAACGGAAACAAAAAUUAUUUGUUGUAUAGCAAAAGAAUAUUUCAAACCAAUAUAAGGAUUAAAUAGGAAGUUUUAAAAAGAUUUAAUUCUGUUUAGUGUUUAAAAUAACAAAAGUGAUCAUUUUGCACACUUCUUUUAGUGGAAUAGAAAUGGUAAUUAAGAAUUUUGUUAAACUCACCACUAGGAAGGCCUAAUUCUAAAACAUAGUAGUUUGAGUCCUCCCACAAAUUCGAAAAGAGUUCAGAAUCCUCAUAAACUCUCGUUUGCUUUUUGUUGCUGAUCAGAACAU
rnacentral:misc_RNA from 1 species